AUUUUCGAGGCAAUGGGGAAGAGGCUUGUUGGGGUCGGGCUUGGGACUGGAGGAGAGCUUCUGCUGCUUAAGAGGCAAUGGGGAAAUGGUGAGGGGGAGGCUGGUAAUGUUGGACACGACGGCGGUUGCGACGGCGAGGGGAGGCGGAGCAGGAGGAGGAAGAGCAACUUACGAAUGUGAGGAAGAGCAGCUUCUUCUCGAAGCAGCUGCUGACGAACUUUGCGAGUGGGGGUGCUGCUCCGCUGGGGGACGGAGGAGGAGGGAAGGUGGGGGGAGAGGAGGAGGUGGUGAGUCGGGGAGUGGAGGAACCAGAUCGAUCUAAGGAGUUGGAAGAGGGAGGAGAGGGAGAGGAGGAGGAGAAGAGGGAGAGGAAAGAGAGAGGGAGUGGGUUUGUAUCGGUGGGGAAGAGAAAGAAAAAGUUAUUGGAUGAAGUUCUUGGUGAGAGAAAUAAGAAGAUAAGAUGUUUGAGGGGAGUAGGUUAAAGAGAGAGCUAAAAAUUUAAAAGGAAGUUUGAAAUUUUCCGAAAUUUUUGGCGGAAACAGACUUUAGUCGACGAAACCUGUGAAAUUCGUCGGCUAAAGUAAUGAAACUCGUCGGCUAAAGUAAUGAAGCUCGUCGGCUGAAGUCCUUUGAAAAUUUUGAAAAUUUUCUCCCAAAUUUGGUUUGCCGCCAAAUUUUUUUUCGACUUUAGCCGAUGACUUUUCAUAUAUUUCCGUCGGCUAAAGUCAUUUGAAAAUUUUCCUCCAAAUUUAGUUUACCGCCAAACAAUUUUUGACCUUAGCCGACGACUUUUUUAAUAUCUCGUCGGCUAAAGUCUAUAAAUUCACGAAAACGCUCGUAUCUCCCUCUAUAUUACAUAGUUUGGUCAAACCUUUCACACGAAAAACUCUCAUGUAGAUGAGACGCAACCGCCU
rnacentral:lncRNA from 1 species